rnacentral:rRNA from 1 species
AGAAACUUACAACAAAGAGUCCCUCCCGACUGUUUACCAAAAACACAGCACUCUGCUAACUCGUAAGAGGAUGUAUAGGGUGUGACGCCUGCCCGGUGCUCGAAGGUUAAUUGAUGGGGUUAGCAUUAGCGAAGCUCUUGAUCGAAGCCCGAGUAAACGGCGGCCGUAACUAUAACGGUCCUAAGGUAGCGAAAUUCCUUGUCGGUUAAAUACCGACCUGCAUGAAUGGCGUAACGAGAUGGGAGCUGUCUCAAAGAGGGAUCCAGUGAAAUUGUAGUGGAGGUGAAAAUUCCUCCUACCCGCGGCAAGACGGAGAGACCCCGUGGACCUUUACUACAGCUUGACACUGCUAUUUGGAUAAGAAUGUGCAGGAUAGGUGGGAGGCUUUGAGUAUAUGACGCCAGUUGUAUAUGAGCCAUUGUUGAGAUACCACUCUUUCUUAUUUGGGUAGCUAACCAGCUUGAGUUAUCCUCAAGUGGGACAAUGUCUGGUGGGUAGUUUGACUGGGGCGGUCGCCUCCCAAAUAAUAACGGAGGCUUACAAAGGUUGGCUCAGAACGGUUGGAAAUCGUUCGUAGAGUAUAAAGGUAUAAGCCAGCUUAACUGCAAGACAUACAAGUCAAGCAGAGACGAAAGUCGGUCUUAGUGAUCCGGUGGUUCUGUGUGGAAGGGCCAUCGCUCAAAGGAUAAAAGGUACCCCGGGGAUAACAGGCUGAUCUCCCCCAAGAGCUCACAUCGACGGGGAGGUUUGGCACCUCGAUGUCGGCUCAUCGCAUCCUGGGGCUGGAGCAGGUCCCAAGGGUAUGGCUGUUCGCCAUUUAAAGCGGUACGCGAGCUGGGUUCAGAACGUCGUGAGACAGUUCGGUCCCUAUCUGCCGUGGGCGUAAGAAGAUUGAAGAGAUUUGACCCUAGUACGAGAGGACCGGGUUGAACAAACCACUGGUGUAGCUGUUGUUCUGCCAAGAGCAUCGCAGCGUAGCUAAGUUUGGAAAGGAUAAACGCUGAAAGCAUCUAAGCGUGAAGCCAACUCUAAGAUGAAUCUUCUCUAAGCUCUCUAGAAGACUACUAGUUUGAUAGGCUGGGUGUGUAAUGGAUGAAAGUCCUUUAGCUGACCAGUACUAAUAGAGCGUUUGGCUUAUCUUUAAUAAAGCAU